AGACACAAAACAACUUUCAUCACUGAUUCUGACACGUUUUCGUUUAGAGGUUGAAGAUGAAGAACUUCAAACUGCGACCAGCAGAACAAAGAAAAUCUAAGCCAGUAAACAAGCAGAGAUCAGGCUUCAGGACAACGGAAAUCAAAAGAGAAACUGCUGAAGACUUGAGGCAGUAAAGUGCAUUGCAGUGGAUAUAAAUGACAAAUAAAAUAUGUGGACAGCAACAGAUUGGUCAACGUUUGGCUCCCUCUCAUAUUCAAACACAUCCAUUGACUAAAAACACUAUUUAGCUUUUUGUCGUUACAACAUAUCAAUUGAUUCAGGCAUGUUGGAGUUGGAGAAGAGAUGCAACUAAAAGUUAUAGGAUGGCAGGUCUUAAGUGCUGGCGCAUCCCUGACCUGAAGUUUUUCUCAAACUAAAUACAUAGAAGAGCAAUUCCUCUUUUAAUCCACCUCCACCCUCUGUAUGUUCAGCUCCCUGAUUUAUCUUCCACAUAGCAACCAGAGCCACCACCACAGCCCUGUUGAUGGUUCAGGUGAAUGGAGAUGGCUCUUCAGUCUCCUAGGAUCUAGCCGACACCUUUUCAGUCUUUAAGGGUCAGGGAGCAGUUACUUCUUCAGACUCAGCGGGUCCAGUCAACAAUCUUUCAGGCUCUGAAGGCUCAGCCAACUGACUCUUCAGUCUCUGGAUAUCUGAGUGACACCAGCGCGUCUUCAGUUUCCAAUAGUCUUGCUCAUGCAAACACUUGAGUGCUGACACCAAUUCAGUCUCCAAGCCUCCACAUGUCUUCAGUCUCCAAAGUUCCAGAAGUCACAUCUUCAGUCUCCAAGACUCCAGUCAUCAUGUCUUUAGUCUCCAAGGUUCCUGAAAUCACCUCUUGAGUCUCUAAGGCUCCAGACACCAUGUUUUCAGUCCAGGUAAGACCAACCCCUCUUCAGUAUUUGAUGGUCCAGCUGAUGCCAAGUCUUUCAUAGUCUCUGAGGGUCAGACCAAUGGCUCCUUAGUCUCAGAGAAUCUGGACGUCGUCGUCAUCCACAAUGGUCUGGCUGAUGUUGACGCCACUUUGGCCACUUAGGAUUAAGUUGACACUAACUCCCUAGAGCUCCAUAUUACACCCAAAAACUUGGAUAUGAAGAAGAGCGAACUGUCAUGAAGCAUUUCUUAUGUGGCUCUACCACAUAUUUUAUAAGACUUGAGAGAUUUUACUCCAAAACUAAUCAAAUACCCAUCUGUCAAGUGAAAUAUAAACAUACAUAAAACAGUUAAGUUGAUUGUUACGACACUGUUUGUUUACAGGCAUGAAAUUGAAGUAGGCUGGAUGAAACACAAAGGUACAACUCUGCGAGCUGACCAAGCCAUUACAACUAAGUGAAAGGUCAAUAUCCAACCAGCAUUUAACCCUGUUGAUUUGUUUAUUCGUCUGCUGAAGAAGAUUGUUGCUGACUUUGCCGCCCCGUUCUGUUCUUCGCAAGGUUAAUUAAGACUCAAUUUACAGGCUGGGAUCCAAAACUCUGAAUAAGGAGGCACUUAAAAGCAGACCAGGUGAUAAUCUUCUGUAGGUUUAUAAUCCUAAGCAACAAUUUAUGCAGCUAGAUUUCCUCUCCAUUAAUGUAAAAGCAAUAAUUAAGUGAGAUUUAAGUCUUUUUCAUUAUUAGAGCCAAAUCUUGCUGAUGCGUCCAAUAGUUUCUAACCUCAUAGCCAUUAGUGAAUUUUGUCUUUAUUUCAGGAGACUACCAUCAAAGUAAUGGUACCAGCAAGAAAAUAAAAGCUGAAA